rnacentral:rRNA from 1 species
GUAGGUGGCAAGCGUUGUCCGGAAUUAUUGGGCGUAAAGCGCGCGCAGGCGGUUCUUUAAGUCUGAUGUGAAAGCCACGGGCUCAACCGUGGAGGGUCAUUGGAAACUGGAGAACUUGAGUACAGAAGAGGAAAGCGGAAUUCCACGUGUAGCGGUGAAAUGCGUAGAGAUGUGGAGGAACACCGGUGGCGAAGGCGGCUUUCUGGUCUGUAACUGACGCUGAGGCGCGAAAGCGUGGGGAGCAAACAGGAUUAGAUACCCUGGUAGUCCACGCCGUAAACGAUGAGUGCUAAGUGUUAGGGGGUUUCCGCCCCUUAGUGCUGCAGCUAACGCAUUAAGCACUCCGCCUGGGGAGUACGGCCGCAAAGGCUGA